CGUGGAUGAGGCAUAAGUCGAACGGAACAAUGACUUCGGUUGUUGUUUAGUGGCGGAAGGGUUAGUAAUACAUAGAUAAUCUGCCCUCAACUUGGGAAUAACGGUUGGAAACGACCGCUAAUACCGAAUGUGGUGUGUUUAGGAAUCUAAAACACAUUAAAGAAGGGGAUCUUCGGACCUUUCGGUUGGGGAAGAGUCUAUGGGAUAUCAGCUUGUUGGUGGGGUAAUGGCCUACCAAGGCUUUGACGUCUAGGCGGAUUGAGAGAUUGACCGCCAACACUGGGACUGAGACACUGCCCAGACUUCUACGGAAGGCUGCAGUCGAGAAUCUUUCGCAAUGGACGAAAGUCUGACGAAGCGACGCCGCGUGUGUGAUGAAGGCUCUAGGGUUGUAAAGCACUUUCGCUUGGGAAUAAGAGAAGUUGGCUAAUAUCCAACUGAUUUGAGCGUACCAGGUAAAGAAGCACCGGCUAACUCCGUGCCAGCAGCUGCGGUAAUACGGAGGGUGCUAGCGUUAAUCGGAUUCAUUGGCCGUAAAGGGCGUGUAGGCGGAAAGGAAAGUUAGAUGUCAAAUCUUGGGGCUCAACCCCAAAUCGGCAUCUAAUACUAUCUUUCUAGAGGGUAGAUGGAGAAAAGGGAAUUCCACGUGUAGCGGUGAAAUGCGUGGAUAUGUGGAAGAACACCAGUUGCGAAGGCGCUUUUCUAAUUUACACCUGACGCUAAGGCGCGAAAGCAAGGGGAGCAAACAGGAUUAGAUACCCUGGUAGUCCUUGCCGUAAACGAUGCAUACUUGAUGUGGAUAGUCUCAACCCUAUCCGUGUCGUAGCUAACGCGUUAAGUAUGCCGCCUGAGGAGUACACUCGCAAGGGUGAAACUCAAAAGAAUUGACGGGGGCCCGCACAAGCAGUGGAGCAUGUGGUUUAAUUCGAUGCAACGCGAAGAACCUUACCUGGGCUUGACAUGUAUUUCACCGCGGCAGAAAUGUCGUUUUCCGCAAGGACAGAUACACAGGUGCUGCAUGGCUGUCGUCAGCUCGUGCCGUGAGGUGUUGGGUUAAGUCCCGCAACGAGCGCAACCCUUAUCGUUAGUUGCCAACACUUUGGGUGGGAACUCUAGCGAGACUGCCUGGGUUAACCAGGAGGAAGGCGAGGAUGAC
rnacentral:rRNA from 1 species